GACGAACGCUGGCGGCGUGCUUAACACAUGCAAGUCGAACGGAAAGGCCCUGCUUUUGUGGGGUGCUCGAGUGGCGAACGGGUGAGUAACACGUGAGUAACCUGCCCUUGACUUUGGGAUAACUUCAGGAAACUGGGGCUAAUACCGGAUAGGAGCUCCUGCUGCAUGGUGGGGGUUGAAAGUUUCGGCGGUUGGGGAUGGACUCGCGGCUUAUCAGCUUGUUGGUGGGGUAGUGGCUUACCAAGGCUUUGACGGGUAGCCGGCCUGAGAGGGUGACCGGCCACAUUGGGACUGAGAUACGGCCCAGACUCCUACGGGAGGCAGCAGUGGGGAAUACUGCACAAUGGGCGGAAGCCUGAUGCAGCAACGCCGCGUGCGGGAUGACGGCCUUCGGGUUGUAAACCGCUUUCGCCUGUGACGAAGCGUGAGUGACGGUAAUGGGUAAAGAAGCACCGGCUAACUACGUG
rnacentral:rRNA from 1 species